rnacentral:rRNA from 1 species
GACGAACGCUGGCGGCGUGCUUAACACAUGCAAGUCGAACGGGAUCCCAAGGCUUUUUGUUUUUGGUGAGAGUGGCGAACGGGUGAGUAACACGUGAGUAACCUGCCUCCUUUUUUUGGAUAACCGCAUGAAAGUGUGGCUAAUACAGGAUAUUCCAGGUUGGUCGUAUGAUUGGUUUGGGAAAUGGUUUGGUCUGGUGGGGGAUGGGCUCGCGGCCUCUCAGCUUGUUGGUGGGGUGAUGGCCUACCAUGGCGGUGACGGGUAGCCGGCGUGGGAGGGUGGGCGGGCGCGCUGGGACUGAGACACGGCGCAGACGCCUACGCGAGGCAGCAGUGGGGGAGUAUGCGCAGGGAGCGCAAGCCUGAGGCAGCGACGCCGCGUGAGGGAUGAAGGCCUUCGGAUUGUAGACCUCUGUCGCGGAAUUGAAAGGCCAUGCUUUGGAUGUGGUUGAAUGGAACUGGUAAAGAAGUACCGGCUAACUACGUG